AGAGUAAAAUUUCAAAAGUUGAAUGAUAAGAAUAAGAAAACACCAAAAUCAACUGAAGGGUCAUCGACUACAAAAAGAAAGCAAAAUCUUGGUGGUUCUUCUCCGUUUAAGCCUCUUACUUAUAGAAUGCGUGCUAGUAAUGACCCUCAAGUCAUAAUGGAAAAAUCUCAAAAAUUGGCACAUAAGAAGAAGAAAACACCAAAUUCAACUGAAGGGUCG